rnacentral:rRNA from 1 species
AGUGAACGCUGGCGGUAGGCCUAACACAUGCAAGUCGAACGGCAGCACAGUAAGAGCUUGCUCUUACGGGUGGCGAGUGGCGGACGGGUGAGGAAUACAUCGGAAUCUACUUUUUCGUGGGGGAUAACGUAGGGAAACUUACGCUAAUACCUCAUACGACCUACGGGUUAAAGCAGGGGAUCUUCGCACCUUGCGCGAUUGAAUGAGCCGAUGUCGGAUUAGCUAGUUGGCGGGGUAAAGGCCCACCAAGGCGACGAUCCGUAGCUGGUCUGAGAGGAUGAUCAGCCACACUGGAACUGAGACACGGUCCAGACUCCUACGGGAGGCAGCAGUGGGGAAUAUUGGACAAUGGGCGCAAGCCUGAUCCAGCAAUACCGCGUGGGUGAAGAAGGCCUUCGGGUUGUAAAGCCCUUUUGUUGGGAAAGAAAAGCAGCAGGUUAAUACCCCGCUGUUCUGACGGUACCCAAAGAAUAAGCACCGGCUAACUUCGUG